AAUUUUGAAGCUACUAGCAAGUUCAAUGUUAAUGAAUAGAAGGAAUAGUUAAAGUUG
rnacentral:tRNA from 1 species